CGGCACUCCAGAUGUUUUGGACUACACCUCCCAUAAUGCUUUGACAGCAUUAUGGGGGAUGUAGUCAACAACAUCUGGAGUGCCG
rnacentral:miRNA from 1 species